CGAGUUGGCCGGGCGGCCGCGGCUCACUUUGGUGGGUCGAGGAAAGUCCGGACUUCGCAGAGCAGGGUGAUUGUUAACGGCAAUCCGAGGUGACUCGCGGGACAGUGCCACAGAAAACAGACCGCCGCCGCCGUCGAAUUUUCGGGGGAAGGCGGUAAGGGUGAAACGGUGCGGUAAGAGCGCACCAGCAUCCCGGGUGACCGGGGUGGCUCGGUAAACCCCACCCGAAGCAAGGCCAAAAGGUCGUCGGCGACGACUGCGCAGUCGUUUGAGGGUUGCUCGCCCGAGACUGCGGGUAGGCCGCUCGAGGCCCCCGGCGACGGUGUGACCAGAUGGAUGGUCGCCGCCACACCAACCGGUGUGGAACAGAAUCCGGCUUACACGCCGGCUCGUCCG
rnacentral:RNase_P_RNA from 1 species